rnacentral:rRNA from 14 species
UUCGAAGCACAGUCGCUAGAUUGUGUGGAGCCGUCCUUGAAAUACCACCCUGGUAAUGUUGAGGUUCUAACUUGGCUCCUGAAACGGGAGUGAGGACAGUGUGUGGUGGGUAGUUUGACUGGGGCGGUCUCCUCCCAAAUAGUAACGGAGGAGCACGAAGGUUAGCUAAUCACGGUCGGACAUCGUGAGGUUAGUGCAAUGGCAUAAGCUAGCUUAACUGCGAGACAGACACG